rnacentral:rRNA from 1 species
GACGAACGCUGGCGGCGUGCUUAACACAUGCAAGUCGAACGGAAAGGCCCUGCUUUUGUGGGGUGCUCGAGUGGCGAACGGGCGAGUAACACGUGAGUAACCUGCCUUUGACUUUGGGAUAACUUCAGGAAACUGGGGCUAAUACCGGAUAGGAGCUCCUGUUGCAUGGUGGGGGUUGGAAAGUUUCGGCGGUUGGGGAUGGACUCGCGGCUUAUCAGCUUGUUGGUGGGGUAGUGGCUUACCAAGGCUUUGACGGGUAGCCGGCCUGAGAGGGUGACCGGCCACAUUGGGACUGAGAUACGGCCCAGACUCCUACGGGAGGCAGCAGUGGGGAAUAUUGCACAAUGGGCGGAAGCCUGAUGCAGCAACGCCGCGUGCGGGAUGACGGCCUUCGGGUUGUAAACCGCUUUCGCCUGUGACGAAGCGUGAGUGACGGUAAUGGGUAAAGAAGCACCGGCUAACUACGUG